rnacentral:rRNA from 1 species
UACGUAGGGUGCGAGCGUUGUCCGGAAUUAUUGGGCGUAAAGAGCUUGUAGGCGGUCUGUCGCGUCUGCUGUGAAAAUCCGGGGCUCAACCCCGGACUUGCAGUGGGUACGGGCAGACUAGAGUGUGGUAGGGGAGACUGGAAUUCCUGGUGUAGCGGUGAAAUGCGUAGAUAUCUGGAGGAACACCGGUGGCGAAGGCGGCAUCCUGGACCAACACUGACGCUGAGUGAGCGAAAGCCAGGGGAGCAAACGGG